CAGUAGCCGCGGUAAUACGAAGGGUGCAAGCGUUACUCGGAAUUACUGGGCGUAAAGCGUGCGUAGGUGGUGGUUUAAGUCCGUUGUGAAAGCCCUGGGCUCAACCUGGGAAUUGCAGUGGAUACUGGGUCACUAGAGUGUGGUAGAGGAUAGUGGAAUUUCCGGUGUAGCAGUGAAAUGCGUAGAGAUCGGAAGGAACAUCUGUGGCGAAGGCGGCCAUCUGGGACAACACUGACGCUGAGGCACGAAAGCGUGGGGAGCAAACAGGAUUAGAUACCCCAGUAGUCCCUGUCUCUUAUAC
rnacentral:rRNA from 1 species